ensembl:lncRNA
AAGCCUAGGCACUCCUCGUCCUAGGCAUCCUCCAGUCCCUGGCAUGCCCCAACUCCUACCAGUGGCUCCAUGAGGAAGAGAGGUAGGACUGAAGCGAGGAAUCAUGGAGGACCCCAACCACUGCCAGGUAUUCAGAACACAUUUUACUUCCAUCAUGGCUGCCCCUUGUUUAAUUAUAGUGGUGACUUUGAAGAACAUUCUGGAAUACAUUUUAUCGUCCUAAAAGUCUUCAUUGAGGAAACCUCCAACCUAUCACAUAUGGCCCAAGAGGAGACUGGUGACUCCCUCAGUGAUAGCGAUUGGGAAAACCGAGGCCUUGCCAGCAGCCAGGUGGAUGGGGAGGUGUCUAGCCCACGCUUUCAAAGUAACACUCUUGAAGCACCUAAGUGGCAAGAGAGACUGGCCUGUCCUGGAGAAAGCUGCCAAGAGCCAGUACACAGUCACAAUUCUAGGCUUGGCCACAACACUGUAAGUUAAGAACGCACUGCAGCUGAGGAGGCCUAGGGCUCUUGGUUCAGAAAAACCUCUUGGAGGAGAGAACAUUGCUUUAAAGGAGGCUGAAAUCUCCUCCCCUCGUUCCCACCUGGAUCUGGAAACCAACGGAUUCCUAUGCGCUGCACGGCACAGCUGCGAGCCCUCCCAGGAGGGUGCGGGAGGCCCGAUCCCGGUGUCACCCACUGGCUCUGUGAUCUCUGCUAAGCUUCUUCAUUCUUCUGCUCUGUCACAUGCAAACCAAAUGCUCCCGGAGCCACCCUGGCUUCUCCAUCGCAGAGAGGCAGCAUCAGAGCUGGAAGCUGUUCUUGGACUGAGCGCUGCAGGUCCCUUCUUCCUGACAGUGUCUCAGAUUUCUGCAGGAAUGCCAUAGUUACCAGCACACGAGUAAGGACCAGACCAGGGUAACCAGCCAUCCAGCGUGUCCAGGCGUUUCCUGGUUGCACCACUGAGUGUUCUGAGCCCCGGAACCAUCCAAUCAAUCACCUUGCCUGCACUCCCCUUGGCUGUGAGAAGGGGAGCUGGUGGUGUGUCCUCCAUCCCUCAUAUCUUCUCCCCUCUAAUCGAGACUGAGGGUGGCUCCUCUGCCAGGGGUGACGGAAAGGUAGAAAAGACCCAUUUGAGUUUAACAGAAAGAGGGAAGAGGAACCUUCAAGAUGUCAAAAAGCCGGCCUCUCCUAGCUUCAAGUUUAACCAGGUUGGGAUUUCUGGCCUGGCCCAGACCACCGAGGUCCUCAGCUGGGGCCCGCUUUUGGUUCCUGUCUUGCUGAGUUUCCAAGUGGGGCCAGGUGCGGAGAUGCCCCCUUAAAUGCCUUCUCGCGGUCACAUACCUGAUUAACCUUUCUCCAGAUGCCCUGCUUUUGCAGCCAGGGCAACAGGCUGUGCGCCCACACAUGUUCUCCCCUAGCCAGCACCUUCACCUGCCACUGGGAUGCUAGGCCCAUGCACUCACAAACGGUACCCAGAGCUUAAGCAAAACACCUGCUUGGGCUAUGCAGGGAGGCACGCUCACACAGACACACACACAGACACAAGGAUACAGGGAAGAAGGCCUGGGAAAUGGUACAGGCCGACAGAAGAUCCCUGGAGACACCAGGGCAUGUGUGCUCAGGGGGUGGCCAGGGACGUGUACACAGCACACACCCCUCUCCCCAAGCCUCCCCAGAACUCCAGUCUGGCAUCAGUUUGGGAUUAGGCCUUGAACUUCAAGAGAUAUCCCCCUCCCUCUCCCAACCAGGCAGGAGCCUUUGGGUGGCCAGACCUGUGUGGGUACCAGGGCCUUCUGGCCCGGCUCCCCGGGAGGACGGGCAGGCCCAGGCGUGCUGCACGAGAGAGCAGGCGUGUGGAGGGCGGCUCUUACACAAUCCCAUCCGGGCUCGGCAGGGCGGGAGAGUUGAAAGGGCCCUGGCAGCUCCCCAGGCCCUGAUGCCUGGGCAAGGAAACCACAGCCUUAAACUCCUGGGUUUCUAAAGGCGGUUCUUUUGGAGGCUUGUUCCUCUCAGACUCUGUCCUUCCUCUGAGGCCAAAGGGGCUGCUGAGGAUGUCAGGCACCGAGUCACAGGCUUCCAGAAACUCAACUCGGCUGGUGCCCUCCCUUCCCACCAAGUAUAGGAAGAAUUUGCUGAAGACAUUGUUCCUUUGUCCAGAGUCCUGCGAAAACUGUGAAGCCAACCCACUUAGGUACAGAUGGCAGCUGGAAAGUGGAAUCCUGAGAACACUGACAGCUUUCCUGGUUGUGCCAGACCCUAUUUUUAAGCACUUUCUGCAUAUGAACUCGUUCAGUUCCCACCAGAACCCGUGGAAGGUAGAUACUAUUCUUGUCAUCUCCAUUUUUCAAAGGUGGGAAGAUAACUCUCCCAAAUUCACACGGAGAGCAUAUGGCAGAGCUGGGAUUUGAACCUAGGCAGCUUUACUAGCAUUUAUAUUCUUUCUGGUCUCUUGGGUAUCAAAAUUGUGAGAUGACCAAUUAGGAAUAUGUUGGAAAUGGCUUUGGAGCAAGAAUUGCAAACUUAAGUGCCUACAGGGUGAGGCAACUGAAAAAAAUGUGUGCCCCAGGCCAGCAGAGAAAGGCCUGUCGUCCAGCUGAGAGUGUGCAGGCCAUACAGAGGUGUCCCUCGUGCAAAUUCCCUAAAACCAAAACUAGCCUGGAGGCCAAUUGGGUCCCCUGGCUUAAAGUAGCUCUAACCUAAGCCAGUGCGCCUCAGGCUGUAAACGACCAGGGACAGGACAUGUGGGCUCCCAAGGCAUUACCAGUUUGUCCUGGGGGUGGGGGUGGGGUGUUGAAAGGUCACAGAAGCAGCAAAGGGCAGAGAGGCACCAGUGAGUCAAAGUGACAGGGGAAGGGGAUAACAACCUGUUCAGAAAGAGCAAAGGAGGUGAGGGGUUGCCUGUCACUGGAGAUACGGGGCUUUUUCUCUUUUUGGCUGUGCUGAGUCCUCACUGCUGCCCUCAGGCUUUCUAUGGCGGCAGCAAGUGGGGGCUCCACAGCAUGGGUGCUAGGCACAUGCGCUUCAGCUGUUGCGGCUGGUGGGCUCCAGAGCACUGGCUCAGUAGUUGUGGCACCUGGGCUUAGUUUCUCCACAUGAGAGCUUCCCAGACCAGGGAUUGAACCCAUGGCAGGAGGAUUCCUAAUCACUGGACCAUCAGGGAAGUCCUGGAAUGAGGCUCUCCAUUAGCCUAAAUAACGCCUUCACUUACGAGGUGUCAAAUACCACAUGCCUUCAAAUACCACAUGCCUAAGGCAGGAAGGAGGUUCAAGGCCAUAGCUGAUUCAGCGCUCAUUUAACAACAAAGAUUCCUCCACUCUAAGGUUUUAGCCUCAACUUGGUCACUGAUUCACUUGGUUAUCCCAAGUUCCUUGCUAUAAUCCCUUGGUCCGCUUUCCUGACCUGUUAAAAAGGAGAGUGAUAGCAUAUUAGAGAUUGAACCUAUAAAUCUGCCGAUUUUCAGUUGGUUUUGACAUUCAAAAAAACAUCAGUUUCAUAAAAUCCAACCCUAUAAUUGUCCUACCUACUUUGGAAAGUGCGGAGAAUACCUAAAAAUGCUUGAAGCAUGAGCCAGAGGCUAACUGCCACCUACACAGCAGGAACCCAGUGUGUGCUCAGUGAAGGGAACGCUGGUUCCAGAACCAGGUGGGCAUGAGCCUUACUUACCCACCUAGCCAAGCCAGCUGUACAGGGACAGCGUCAGGCAAAGCAGUUCUUCGAGGGAAAUUCACAUUCACCCAGUUCCUCCCAGGAUCUGCCC